GAUUGCUUUUAUGUCUAGGGGUCAGAGGAACAUGUUAGAGUGAAGCCAAGUUUUAAAAGGAAGGUUCAAAUAUGCACUAGGUUUUGCCCAGGAUCCAGGAGGAAGCAUUGUGUAUAAAGAAGAAGCUCUGUUUGGAUGGACACGUGGGGGUGAUCUGGGACAUAGAAACCUGGAAAAGCUGAUGAAAGCUGAUUUUCCCUUGAAGAAGACAUUUGGAAUGAAGCAAUGUGACCUUUAAUCACCCUCAGACCUCUUUUUGUUCUUGUUCCAGGACAUUCUAAGAGGAGCCAAGAUGGUUAACUAGACGUAGCCAGGAGGAACAUCUCCCACCAAGAGACUGAGCUGUCAGGAAGACUGGUACAUUCUGAGCAGAUCUUUGGAGGGAAGGCAUUGAGAGUGGAUGGAAGGAUGAUGCAGACACUGGGCUGAAGAGGAAGGAAGCUGGGAACCCUGUACAGGACUACCGAGCACCAGGACUUGUUUCUGGCCCCCUGCAACUCCUGGGAAAGGGGGUUUUAGCCAGAUGAUACCAAAAUGACCCCAGAACCAGAAGAUGGCAGAGCCACAAAGUGAAAAAUACUUGGGUCUCUGAAUCAUAGCUUGGAGGAGGGCUUCCUGGAAAACCAUCCCAACAGAGACAUCCGCAUUAAACUUUGUGUAAACAAAAAAUAAAUCUUUCUUGUGGUAGGCCACUGAGAUUUAGAUUGCUACAGCAGCUAACCGAUCUGACCAAUACAGCAGAGAACUCCUCCAGUGCUCUCAAGUGUUUUACAGACCACUAAUUAUUAAAUGUGGAAGCUCUGGAGCAGAGAACCUUUCAACUGAAAUGAUGACAAACGAUGCUGGCUGAGGAGAGUCAGACCUGAAAAGUUAGGAAUCCCUAAAAUGACGUCAACCUAUAAUUCCUAUUACAGAGCUCUGAUUUCUACUGAUCGUUUUAGGAACCAUAUCUACUAUGUGAGAAAAGCUGCUGGUGGGCCUAAUUUAGAUGAAAAGCAGAAAGGCCUUAAAAAAGAAAUGGGAAAGGAAUAUACAGAAGCAAGAAGAUGAUUGAAAAAAGAUGGCAAUUCAUGUACUUGUUGAACACCAGUUCUGAGCUGCAGAGCAGGAGGCACAAGACGUAAACAAAAAAGUCUCUGUUACGGUCCUAAAGAAGCCAAUCAUCUAGAGAAAUGUAUGCACAGCAGGUCCAGCAGAAUGGGCUUUGCGCUGAUGAGGGAAGCAAGAGGAGAGCAUGGCCUGGGAAAGGAGAUGAUCAGGCUCACUUCCCAUUUCUCUGUGGAAGAACCGUGGCAAACACAGAGUCAACUCACAACGUUCAUUGGAAUUUUUCCCACUUGACUCCUUCGCAAGUUGGAAUAAGGAGUUUGGAAAGGGAGGAUUUCUUCAUAUAAAAAUGGUCUGGGUAUAUCCACGCAAAACUAAAGGGAGUGGAAGAGACCCUAGGUCUACACAUUUGAUGGGAUAGAUCCUUCGGGCUCAGCCUCACCUGCAGGUACUGAAGGAAGCCUUAGUCUGCUAUACAGAGCACUCUGCACCAUGGGGAGAAGAUCAAUAUGCUAAACUUGGGUACUGGGCCUAAAUCUUACGAAGUGACCUCAAACCUAGGAAGGUAAGUGAAACACAAUAAUGGGCAAUAUGCAGGCAGUUGGGCCAGGAAGGCCCUAGUCACUCUGUUAGAGUUAAAGGUUGGUUUCUUGUCCCUGGGAAGAGGCAUGAGAAGGAAGCUGUAUAGCAUGGUAGCUGGAAGUUUGCAAUUUGGAGUCAGGUGGACCUAAGUUUAGAUCCUCACUCUAUGGCUUUACCAACUACAUGG
rnacentral:lncRNA from 1 species